ACGGGGCGCAGCAGGCGCGAAAACUUUACAAUGCGGGAAACCGUGAUAAGGGGAUCUCGAGUGCCAGCAUAUAAUGUUGGCUGUCCAGAUGCCUAAAAAGCAUCUGUUAGCAAGGGCCGGGCAAGACCGGUGCCAGCCGCCGCGGUAACACCGGCGGCCCGAGUGGUAACCGCUAUUAUUGGGUCUAAAGGGUCUGUAGCCGGCCAGGUAAGUCCCUUGGGAAAUCUGGCAGCUCAACUGUCAGGCUGCUAGGGGAUACUGUUUGGCUUGGGACCGGGAGAGGUGAGAGGUACCUUGGGGGUAGGGGUGAAAUCUUGUGAUCCUCGAGGGACCACCAGUGGCGAAGGCGUCUCACCAGAACGGGUCCGACGGUAAGGGACGAAAGCUAGGGGCACGAACCGGAUUAGAUACCCGUGUAGUCC
rnacentral:rRNA from 1 species